rnacentral:rRNA from 1 species
CUGACUGCUAUCGGAUUGAUACUAAGCCAUGCGAGUCUUUGUAGUAAUACAAGGCAGACGGCUCAGUAACACGUAGUCAACCUACCCUAUGGACAAGAAUAAUCUCGGGAAACUGGGCAUAAUUCUUGAUAGAUCAUAAUGCCUGGAAUGGUUUAUGGUUAAAAUGAUUCGUCGCCAUAGGAUGGGACUGCGGCCUAUCAGCUUGUUGGUGAGGUAAUGGCCCACCAAGGCGAUUACAGGUACGGACUCUGAGAGGAGAAGCCCGGAGAUGGGUACUGAGACACGGACCCAGGCCCUAUGGGGCGCAGCAGGCGAGAAAACUUUGCAAUGUGCGAAAGCACGACAAGGUUAAUCCGAGUGAUUUCUGCUAAAGAAAUCUUUUGCCAGUCAUAAAACCACUGGUGAAUAAGGGGUGGGCAAGUUCUGGUGUCAGCCGCCGCGGUAAAACCAGCACCUCAAGUGGUCAGGAUGAUUAUUGGGCCUAAAGCAUCCGUAGCCGGCUUUGUUAGUUUUCGGUUAAAUCCAUGUGCUCAACACAUGGGCUGCCGAAAAUACUGCAUAGCUAGGGAGUGGGAGAGGUAGACGGUACUCAGUAGGAAGGGGUAAAAUCCUUUGAUCUAUUGAUGACCACCUGUGGCGAAGGCGGUCUACCAGAACACGUUCGACGGUGAGGGAUGAAAGCUGGGGGAGCAAACCGGAUUAGAUACCCGGGUAGUCCCAGCUGUAAACGAUGCAGACUCGAUGAUGCAUUGGCAUAAUAGCCAGUGCAGUGUCGCAGGGAAGCCGUUAAGUCUGCCGCCUGGGAAGUACGUACGCAAGUAUGAAACUUAAAGGAAUUGGCGGGGGAGCACCACAAGGGGUGAAGCCUGCGGUUCAAU